rnacentral:rRNA from 1 species
UAGGGAAUCUUCGGCAAUGGACGAGAGUCUGACCGAGCAACGCCGCGUGAGUGAAGAAGGUUUUCGGAUCGUAAAACUCUGUUGUUAGAGAAGAACAAGGACGUUAGUAACUGAACGUCCCCUGACGGUAUCUAACCAGAAAGCCACGGCUAACUACGUGCCAGCAGCCGCGGUAAUACGUAGGUGGCAAGCGUUGUCCGGAUUUAUUGGGCGUAAAGCGAGCGCAGGCGGUUUCUUAAGUCUGAUGUGAAAGCCCCCGGCUCAACCGGGGAGGGUCAUUGGAAACUGGGAGGCUUGAGUGCAGAAGAGGAGAGUGGAAUUCCAUGUGUAGCGGUGAAAUGCGUAGAUAUAUGGAGGAACACCAGUGGCGAAGGCGGCUCUCUGGUCUGUAACUGACGCUGGGGCUCGAAAGCGUGGGGAGCAAACAGG